rnacentral:rRNA from 1 species
UACGAAGGGGGCUAGCGUUGUUCGGAAUUACUGGGCGUAAAGCGCGCGCAGGCGGCUAUUCAAGUCAGUGGUGAAAGCCCGGAGCUCAACUCUGGAACUGCCUUUGAAACUGUUUAGCUUGAGGACGAGAGAGGUGAGUGGAAUUCCCAGUGUAGAGGUGAAAUUCGUAGAUAUUGGAAAGAACACCAGUGGCGAAGGCGGCUCACUGGCUCGUAUCUGACGCUCAGGCGCGAUAGCGUGGGGAUCAAACAGG